ACAUCAUAGGAAAACUGCGUCUUCACUCCCUAGCAAGCAUCCAAAUCAUUGGAAUAUACUUCUGGCAGUACAUGAGAGUUUUCCAGAGACCUGGGCAGCAACAACCAAAAGAAGUAAUCUGAAGCAGACAGAAGAGCAAGCUAGCUCACUGAGUUCAGAUUCCCCUGACCUUCUGUAUUCUUUCUCAGCCCUUUUAAGGAAGAAAAGCUUCACGCCCAGUGCAAAGCCCGAUGCAGGGCUUGAACUCACAACCCUGAGAUCGAGACCUGAGCUGAGAUCAAGAGUCCGAUGCUUAACUAACUGAGCCCCCCAGGUGGCCCGGAAACCCUCCUAUUUAGAACAAAUCAAUCAACAACACCAGAAUGCUAAAAAAGCACAUUUCAAUGUGUGUAAUUGUGCUCACUUGAAGAGUGAGAGGUAAGAUACCUAAAACCAGCCUUUCUGGCUAAUCCUGCCAUUUCUCUCAGCGGUGAGAACAGUGUCACCUGAGUGGAAAUUACACUUGGCAAUGUGAUACUGUGUAUCUCACUGAAAAGGCAUCCCCAUCAGACAACUUUUAUUUUGAUCAAAUACAGGGUAGAAAAACAGGAGAAGGAGAAUGAAAAAAAGAUGGCAAUGCAGAGAAAAGACAUUACCUAAUAUAUUUAAGAGGAAGCACUUCCUGGAACUUGUCAACAAUUCACACCACCUUCAUCUCGAUGAGAAUAAAUCCAAAAUCAGUUCUUCCUCUCCUCAAACAGAAAGCAUUGCCACUUUCCCUGUGCUGUUCCCAGCCCACCAAACCUCCCAACUCUUCUUUCUUUGAACACAUAGUAAGCGGAAUGGUUAAGAGCAGGGUUCAGAAAUCCCAUCACUAGAGUAAAAAUACUGGCUCUGCCAUGUAUUAGCUGUUUGACCUUCAGGUUGGUUACUUAACAUCUCCGUCCCUCCCUUUCCUUAUCAGUAAGAUGGAAAAAAAUAGCACUCAUCUGAGGCUGUGGUGAGGACUGAAUGAAUCCGUACAUGUACUGCGCUUAUACAGUGCCUGGCACACGAUAAGCACUCUAUACAUUUAACUUUGAUGAUGGUGGUGAUGAUGGCAAUGACAAGGACAGGGGCUUAACCAGACUGUGGUGCAAACAAGGACCUGGAGAUCACAUAGUUCCCCCAAGCAAGCACACAACCCACUAGAAAAAAGCCUUCUUAUUCUGUGGACCUAGGGGACUCAAAGUGAUUCUUCUCAGUGGCUACAGCAGCUUAUCAGAAGGGUCAGGCUCAAAGGACCAAAGCCAGGGCAGGAAAGAUACGGAGGAACAGAGACAGAGUGCUUGAGUCUGGGAGAAACUCGUUUGGGGCAGUUCCGAGAAGUGGUAGCAGCCAACAGUUCACAAUCAUGGGAUUUAGAACUUAGAAAGAAAGUAACAGGCCAGUCAGAUAUGCACGUUUUGUUAAUAUGGCCAAACUCUCCACCACCCUUCCCUCAAGGUCCAUCUUCCAGAAACUGCUCGAAGUUCCUAGAGCACUUUUUCACAUUUUCAUGGUUACCUUUGGCAUGUAAUCAUUCUGGGGAAUAACUGAUGUCUCAAUUCAAUUAUAAAUUCUGAAAGGAGGUAUGUGUGUGCCUUAUACUCUCAUAUCUCUCUUCCUGGCCUAUCCCAGCACCUAACUCCCACGAUGGACAUAUUCAAAUGGGAAGUACACAAUGUAAAGGCUCUGAGUGAGCCAGUGCUAUAGAGAUACAUGGUAUUAUAUUAAAAUAAGCACACACAUAGCUAGUGCAGAGAAAAAGACACAGAGAAGCACGCCUGCCCCUUCCUUUUUGAGGCUUCAGUGAAAACGCUGAGUCCCUAAAGUUUAGAGGUAGAACAUUAAGCUGUCAGUAAAACUACUGAAAAGAUUCAGUUCCAAGGAGAAUUUGAAUUAAAUAACAAACCAUAAAGUAAUAAGGAAGUCCAGCAAAACUCUGCUCUCCACCACCCCACCCCCCCCACGCCCGCCGCCAUGAUGGCCACUUUGAUUUUUUUUUAAACAGUGAACAUCAAAUUCUUUU